rnacentral:hammerhead_ribozyme from 1 species
ACUAGUUAACGAGUCCCAAAUAGGACGAAACACGCGUCUUGGAU